ensembl:snRNA U1 U1 spliceosomal RNA
AUACUUACCUGGCAGGAUGAUUACCAUGAUCAAGAAGGCGGAUCACCCAGGGUGAGGCUCAGCCAUUGCACUCUGCGAAUUUCCCAAAUGUGGGAAUCAUUUCUGGUUGUGGGGGACUGCAUUCGUGCUCUCCCCUG